AAAACACAUUUUAAACUAUCUAGAUAAAGCUAGAAUACUUGAUCUACAUGAUAAUAUAAAACAUAUAUACUAAUUAAUUUAUCUAUAAAAUGAUUAACUAUUUGCUAUAUACCAGUAGUAUAUACACAAUUGUGCCGUAAACAUUCUCUAGAUGUGAUUUUGAAAAUCUUUUUUUUUUCAGAUUUAUAAGAAAUAUAUGAAAAGUAAAGUACGAUUUAGAUUACCUAAUUUGGUGAACAAAUUUAAAUUAUAACUUAAAAAAGGGGAAGUAUUAAAUAAUUGUUUAUAGAAAAGAAAAAUCAAGUAACUAUAAACAUCAUACAUAUUAUCCAAAAUGAUAAUAUCAAAUUAUAAAUGUCUUAAUAGGUUAUAAGACUUAAGUAAAAUUACUAUUUUGUUUUAAAAACUUCCCAAACAAAUUUUGAAAACUAGGGUUUACCCGUGUUAUGAAAAGUGAAAGUCA